ACAGACUUCCCUCCUCAACAGUUUCAAAGGGAGCUCAUGAACAGACUGGGCAAAGCCGGAGCCCUCUCUUCACAUGCCUUAGGGCAGUGAUGGGGCAGCCAAAGCUGAGCACUCUAACUGAGGGAUGCAGAUUAGAGGUGAGGACAUAACUCCAAAGAGUAACUCUUUGCUGAAGUGACUUCACAGGAAACAAUUCAAAUGGAAAACCCAGUUUACGUUCCUAAAAUUCAUGGUAUGAUUUAUCAUGAGAUGAGCCUCCUUAAUUGGAAAAAUAUACUGUAGAUGUAUGAAAAAAAUGAUGUUUACCACCUCACCCAACAAAUCUUCUAUUCAACGGAUGUGUACUUGGAAUUUCUAUUCUAAGUGCUAGUGCUUCAGUAUUUGUGCUAUAAAGAGUUGAAGGUUAAUAUCCACAAGGAAAAUCAUGUACACCUGGAUCAAAAAGAAGCUACUGGCAUAAGGCAUUUUGGCAUUAGACUAGAUGUACACAUGCUGACAUGUCAAAAUCCUUGAAACAGAAGUUUCAGAACCUCCUCAUGACUG